AAUAAUAAAUAAGUCUGAAUACGUCGCUAAUAAUAACUCUGAAUAAUAAUAAUAAUAACUCUAGCGACGUAUUCAAAGUGAUCGUACAGAAUUCCGGUACAUACUCCAUUCAACGUCGACAUCACGUGCAACAAGCAUCGGUGGUGUAGGAGGAAUGUGUUGAGUAUACCCAAACUGCCGUAUGCACCUCUCAGGUAAAUACGGAACCACCGUGAAACACCAACGAAUGUAUCAUGUAAAUAAUGACACAGACUGAAAUCGUGUCACAGCGUUCUGAUCGUAAUCUGGUGCCCAGAUAAUAUCCGUAUCCCUCAAAGCAUCCAACUUUGCCCUGUAAUAUGCCACAUUCCCAGAUGUUUGUUUUGCCGUCCAACGAAACAUCCGUGGCAUCGAGGAAAUAUGCUCAUCCAUAUCCCGUUUACAAAUAUCGGGGAAAUGUUCAUAAAUCCAAUUGAAAUGUAGUAAAAUUAUUAAGGUGAUGAAAUAAUUAAAAAAAUAAUGAUAAGUACAAUAAAUAUAAUAGUACCUGAAAUAAAGACAAAUAUCCUCCAAUCUAUUUGGUUGCAGGCAAUGUACUGUCUCUAAGAUAGUCAUAUAGCACAACAAGUGCAGCCGGUCCCCAUGCCCAUUUACCACAACUAUCCAGAUCUUAAAACAGAAAGAGAUAUUUUGCAGAUACAAGUGUAAAACUUUUAUCCGCAAGAAUGGUACAUCCUACCAAAUGAAGUAGAUAUGUCCUAGCUGCACAGUCAUAUCUUCCUUCAUGAAGUUUCUUAUAAAAUACCUCUUUCAACCACU
rnacentral:lncRNA from 1 species